AUUUUAUGCUUGCAUAAAUGAUUUUUGGAUUCGGAGCGAGUGGCGAACUGGUGAGUAACACGUGGGUAACCUGCCCCGAAGCGGGGGAUAACAUUUGGAAACAAGUGCUAAUACCGCAUAAUUAGUUGGAACCGCAUGGUUCCAACUUGAAAGAUGGCUCUGCUAUCACUUUGGGAUGGACCCGCGCCGUAUUAGUUAGUUGGUGAGAUAAAAGCCCACCAAGACGAUGAUACGUAGCCGACCUGAGAGGGUAAUCGGCCACAUUGGGACUGAGACACGGCCCAGACUCCUACGGGAGGCAGCAGUAGGGAAUCUUCCACAAUGGACGAAAGUCUGAUGGAGCAACGCCGCGUGAGUGAUGAAGGUUUUCGGAUCGUAAAACUCUGUUGUUAAAGAAGAACAAGUGUUAGAGUAACUGUUAACACUUUGACGGUAUUUAACCAGAAAGCCACGGCUAACUACGUGCCAGCAGCCGCGGUAAUACGUAGGUGGCAAGCGUUGUCCGGAUUUAUUGGGCGUAAAGCGAGCGCAGGCGGUUUUGUAAGUCUGCUGUGAAAGCCCUCAGCUCAACUGAGGAAGUGCAGUGGAAACUACAAAACUUGAGUACAGAAGAGGAAAGUGGAACUCCAUGUGUAGCGGUGAAAUGCGUAGAUAUAUGGAAGAACACCAGUGGCGAAGGCGGCUUUCUGGUCUGUUACUGACGCUGAGGCUCGAAAGCAUGGGUAGCGAACAGGAUUAGAUACCCUGGUAGUCCAUGCCGUAAACGAUGAAUACUAGGUGUUGGAAGGGUUUCCGCCCUUCAGUGCCGCAGCUAACGCAUUAAGUAUUCCGCCUGGGGAGUACGACCGCAAGGUUGAAACUCAAAGGAAUUGACGGGGGCCCGCACAAGUGGUGGAGCAUGUGGUUUAAUUCGAUGCUACGCGAAGAACCUUACCAGCUCUUGACAUCUUCUGCCAACCCAAGAGAUUGGGCGUUCCCUUCGGGGACAGAAUGACAGGUGGUGCAUGGUUGUCGUCAGCUCGUGUCGUGAGAUGUUGGGUUAAGUCCCGCAACGAGCGCAACCCUUAUUAUUAGUUGCCAGCAUUUAGUUGGGCACUCUAGUGAGACUGCCGGUGAUAAACCGGAGGAAGGUGGGGACGACGUCAAAUCAUCAUGCCCCUUAUGAGCUGGGCUACACACGUGCUACAAUGGAUGGUACAACGAGUCGCGAAACCGCGAGGUCAAGCUAAUCUCUUAAAGCCAUUCUCAGUUCGGAUUGCAGGCUGCAACUCGCCUGCAUGAAGUUGGAAUCACUAGUAAUCGUGGAUCAGCAUGCCACGGUGAAUACGUUCCCGGGCCUUGUACACACCGCCCGUCACACCAUGAGAGUUUGUAACACCCAAAGACG
rnacentral:rRNA from 1 species